UUGAGUUAGUUGGACUAGCUCCAUCCAUAGCUACUGUUGAUGUUGUUGAGUUAGUUGUACUAGCUCCAUCCAUAGCUACUGUUGAUGUUGUUGAGUUAGUUGUACUAGCUCCAUCCAUAGCUACUGUUGAUGUUGUUGAGUUAGUUGGACUAGCUCCAUCCAUAGCUACUGUUGAUGUUGUUGUUGUUGAGUUAGUUGGACUAGCUCCAUCCAUAGCUACUGUUGAUGUUGUUGUUUUAGUUGGACUAGCUCCAUCCAUAGCUACUGUUGAUGUUGUUGAGUUAGUUGGACUAGCUCCAUCCAUAGCUACUGUUGAUGUUGUUGUUUUAGUUGGACUAGCUCCAUCCAUAGCUACUGUUGCUACUGUUGUUGUUGAGUUAGUUGGACUAGCUCCAUCCAUAGCUACUGUUGCUACUGUUGUUGUUAUUGAGUCAGUUGGACUAGCUCCAUCCAUAGCUACUGUU